UACGUAGGUGGCAAGCGUUGUCCGGAAUUAUUGGGCGUAAAGCGCGCGUAGGUGGGAGGCCAAGUCUGUGGUGAAGCGCCCGGCUCAACUGGGCAGAGUCCAUGGAACUGGUCACCUGGAGGACGGUAGAGGCGAGUGGAAUCCCGGUGUAGUGGUGAAAUGCGACAGAUAUCAGGAGGAACGACCAAUUGCGAAGGCAGCUCGCUGGGACGUUACUGACGCUGAGACGCGAAGCG
rnacentral:rRNA from 1 species